AUGAGAAUUUCUGAUCUAUCAAUCAGUUGGUAGUAUCGAGGACUACCAAGAUUAUAACGGAUAACGAGGAAUUGGGGUUCGACAUCGGAGAGGGAGCUUUACAGAUGGCUACCACUUCUAAGGAAGGCAGCAGGCGCGUAAAUUACCCACUUUCGAAUUGAAGAGGUAGUGACGACACAUAACUCUAGAGUUGAGUAAAAUCAAUUCUUGAAGGAAUGAGUAGGAGGUAAAUUCUCCUACGAAAUCAAUUGGAGGGCAAGUCUGGUGCCAGCAGCCGCGGUAAUUCCAGCUCCAAUAGUGUAUAUUAAAGUUGCUGUGAUUAAAACGCUCGUAGUUGAAUUAAAAUGUGAUUUUAUACAUUUUGAA
rnacentral:rRNA from 1 species